rnacentral:lncRNA from 12 species
AUGUGUGCGCACAGGCUGGGGGUGGGGGGUGAUGGGCAGGACUCGCCCACUUCUUUGAAGGAAAUCUGCAGGCAGCCGUUCCUAGAAGGAAGGGCCUCGCCCGGUGUUUACCUGCUCGGCCACUGUCCCGGCAGGUCCUGCCACGUGUCCACUUGUGAGGAUGGAGGGAGUGGCCAGGUGGCCUCGGGCAGGUCCCGCCAGCCCCACAGGAGGUGGAGCAGGAGGCCUGGACCUCAACACCCCCCCCCAGCAGGCAGGGCUCCUUCUGCCCGUCUGUGCCUCAGUGUCCCCAUCUGGCUAAUGGGCACAGCCAUGCUUCUUUCCCGGAGUUGUGCAGAUCAAAGGAAGCCCAGCCUGGGGCUGGCAGGGCUGUUUCAAGGAGUCUGGACUGCAUCCCGGGGGCUAUGGGAAGCCCGGCGGGGAGGGUGGUUGGGGGAUAAACUAUAAUUAAUAGGACUAAUUUUAAAAUAGGUAUUGAUAAACUCAAAAGAAAGAAAAGGAAAUCCCAGGGCCCAGGAACAAACUGAACAUGACGCAAGCCAGGCCCUCUGUCUGCCCAUCGGGCACCAGGGUCGUGGCCUUGGAACAGAAAGCGUGGACGGUGAGAGGAGCAGCCGGAGGCAGACCCCGAAGAAAUCCCGCUCCAGGAAAGGGGGCUUCACUGCCCACGGGCCUGGGGACGCAGCCAAGGGACAGGAAGGGACAGGAAGGCGGCUCUGCAGAGAAACAAAAUCUAAGCAGUAAGGGCAGGGGUGAGGCGGGCGGUCGGGGUCUGAUUCAGGGCCACCCGGGGCUCUGCCAUCUCCAGCCAAGGCAGGGGUGGGAAAGCCCGUCUCCCACUUGUGAACCCCCUGAACCCCCUGCAAACACACCGCAGGGCCCGUCCCAUCCCGAGACCGGCACACGCACCGCAUCUGCCCACAGCAGGUGAGCUCAUGGGGUGACCCUCAGCCCGGGGGUGUCCUCACCCUGCAGGACCCUCACCUGGGGGAGUCUCACCCUGCAGGACCCUCACCUGGGGGGGUCCUCACCCUGCAGGACCCUCACCCGAAGGGGGGUCCUCACCCUGUAGGAUCCUCACCCGAGGGGGGUCUCACCCUGCAGGAACCUCACCCGGGAGGGUGUCCUCACCCUGCAGGACCCUCACCUGGGGGGAUCCUCACCCUGCAGGACCCUCAUCUGAGGGGGGUCAUCACCCUGCAGCCCUCACCUGGGGCUCUCACCCUGCAGGACCCUCACCUGGGGCUCUCACCCUGCAGCCCUCACCUGGGGCUCUCACCCUGUAGGACCCUCACCCGGGGUCUCAGCCGGAGUGUCCAGCUCCUCUGCCAUCUGCCACGGGAUGUCAGUCUGAAACCACAGGUAUUCCUGCCGCCGCUGCCCCCCUUUCCCUGCCUACUCCCCCAAAUCCCGGGAAACCCGCAUUUCUCCCAAAUGCCUUGUGGGAGCGUGGGGUGUGUUUGCAGGCAUCAACGGAAGGGCUGAGUCUUCCCUCCUGGCUCCAGGGGAUGAGGAACAGAGAGAGCCUGGGUGGGGGGGUGGGGAGACGUGGGAUCCCUGGAAGUCUCUGGAAGUUCUCCGAGGGCUGGAGGAAGGUGCUGGCCUGCCUGGGGUUGGGGGGGCGGGGCACGGCUCUGCUCUUCUGUCCAUCAGGGGAGGUGGCGAUAGCCCUUCUCCUGGGCCCUGGGAGGACCGGGAGGACCGCAGGCAGCUGCCGGGAGCACUGCCCACAGAAGGCUGCGGGGCUUGCUACCAAUGAGCGGGGGCCCAGCCCAUGUCGCCUGAAUGAGCCACCGCCAUCGAUGGAACUCUGUGAACGGAGAGGACAGUGAAGGCAUGAGCGGGGUGCGGCACGGCCUCCCCAGCCCUGCAGCGAGGGGAGCCAGGAGGGAGGAGGGGAGGAGAGGCCCGCCCUGAGUCACAAGGAGGUCAGAGGCCAGGCGGUGACUUGAGGGGCUCAUGGCACACACCGUGACGCCCCACUUACUCACUGGGGCCCGGGGCUAACACUCCAAGGGACGGAGGAGCCCGAGUUCCCCUGAGUCAUGGGCCUGGGCGGGGGGCUUCACUCAGCGGCUCCUCCCCCCCUCCUGGGCCUGGCGGACCAUGAAUCAGGGCUUUUCAGGAGAGAUGAGAACCAAAGAGUCAGCAAGGAGUGUGCAGCCCCAGCAGGGGAGCCCGCGGGCCCUGAGGAGCGCGGGGAUCCCCGGGGGCGGGGCGGGGGUGGCCCUCCUGUGUCCCCUGCUCUGGGCGCUGAGCUCCCACCCCACCGUCAGCGCCACCCACCCACCACAAUAAUAAAUAAUAGCAGUGACUGUGCCCA